GAACCUGUGGGGAGAGAAGGUGGGUGAGUUUGCCCCAAUCCCCUCCAUAGCUGGGUGCCACCCUGCUCCCUCCUGCAGCUGCUUUUGGGUGUCUGCAGCUCCACAGACCCUCACAGCAAGACAAACUGGGAUCCCACACCACAUCAACCUACCCCAGGAAACGCAGUCUUCUCCCAGGAGUUUCAGGUAUCCAGUGUUCCUCCGGCCAUGCCUUGCUGAAGGAACAAAACUGCCUGUGCUGGAGGUAAAAAUACUUGCUGAUGCUAAACCUCGAGUUGGUGAGUCUCUGCUGAGCUGCAUCAUCAUAGUCUUCUAGGAGAAAUGUUAAUUCCCUUUUAAAAUUAAGGAGAGGAAAAGCAAACAGCAACUAAAUCCAAGAACAGGUAGACAACUUAGCUCCAGGAUUUUGCACUGCAGGUAUCAGGAAGCUUUCUGCCUUGAACCACGCUGCUUGGAAAUGCUGGGAAAUCUCAUGUUAGUCCUUAACUCAGUCUGUUGUGUGUGGUUUUCUCCUCUCCAGCAGCAGCAUGAGUUAAGGAGGAGGCAUUAGCCCUCGCUGCGAUACCCCCACUGUCAGUUCAAGUCAGACUCUUCACGUUAUUUAUAUGUUCCCUUUUGUAAGUGUAUCGAUUAUACAAGUGAGUUCUCAAGUGCUCAGGCACUCGAUACAGCCACACAAAGGAGGAAAAUGUCCAGGUUAGCAUGGAAUUACACGUGUGCUGAGCAUGCCAGGGGACAGGAAUAAAUAGUGACAUGUACAAUUCAAAGCUACAUCUUAAGAGCUUUCUGUUUUAUUGCAGAGUGAUUAAAAAUAAAACCUGCAUUUCAAUUUCCAAAGUCCAGAAACUAAAGUUUGUCAGAAUUAUUCUUAGCCAUGGCAGAAUUGCCAUCUUCAGGCCACUUCCGCACACACCAGGUUAUUCCACAAUAAUCCAAAAUCCAGCGCAAGCUCCUCCCUCCCCUCUGUUCGUUUUACCCUUUGCAUUAUGAAUGCUGUGGGUAAGGGCUGCCUGUUUCACAGGGGGCUUGGUAUCACAGAAAGCUGGUUGUUGAUCUCUGGAUGCCUGCAGGCCAGCAAUCUGUGCUACAAGUUACCCCUCUUAAAAAAAAAAAAAAUCACCAAAAAAAAAAGACAAGUGGAUAAAACUGAUACAAGCAUCUGUAACAAGCUAAUUGGACCCUUGUGGGCAACAUAGCAGAUACCAAAUUAAAACAAACAAAACAUCUCGUUGUACAACUGUACUUCCAGGACCACUAUCACAAAGAGAUCCGUCUGGAUUUUUAUUUUAGUUUUGUUUUGUUUAAAAGGACCUAAUUAUGGCCAGAGCUGGAGUAUCACAAGUCUGUUUUCAUCUAUAAAGAAAGGAUAUUUUGCCUCUGAACCUGAGAAAUUGUUAGAAGUUGGUAAUUAGUAUGACUUGUUAAUAGAGUUUGGCUGUGAUUAAGCUGUGAUUGAGUGUGAGUUUGGUUCUUGUCAAUGCGAAUGCCUGUAAGGUUGAGAGAUGUUUAAUGAGACACCUGUUGUCAGCAGCACCCGGUGGGCUUUGUUGCGCCUGAUUGGAAUUUGUACGGCGGAGCAGGAGCCGUCGGAACAGCAGCAGGAACAGCCCCGGCUGGCGGCUCAGCAGCAGCGGGAAAGGGCCUGAGCCAAACGGAGGGUCAGACCCACCAGGGUCAGAGUAGGAUUUCAGGUGCAGAGCUGCAUCUCCUGUAUCUGCUCCCUGGCACUAUCAGCACCUCCAAACACACUGAGUGACUUCAGUCUGCUCCAUAUGCAGGCAGACUCCUGGAAAAACCUUUCAUUUUCUUACGGACUCAUUGACUGAGGUUUCCUGACUCAAAUCCCUCUACAAGACCCUGCAGAAAUGACAUCAAAACAUCACCAUUUUGAGGCCACAUGCUUUUCCUGCCCACUGAUGUCCUUUGAGUUUGAAUUGCAGCGUUUAGCUUUGACUGUGAGGCAAAGUUGGCAGUUUCCUGACUAACCCAAAGUGAGGUCAGAAAGAAGAAUGAAAACCAGAAAGGCGCCCCAGAAUGUCUGAGCAGAAGACAAUCAGAUUUCUGUGUCAAAAAGAGGGCAAAACUAAGGAUGUGGGACUUGCAUGAAAAAUCUUGUAGACAGUUAUUUUUUUCUUCUUCCUUUCUCUCACAGUGGGACAAAUUCCACUUUUAUUUCAGUUCAUCUGUAAAACAUGAGGAGCCAGCUGAGCAUAGCGUUGGUUCAGAAUGAGGGCAGCUGACAAGGGAAAGGUAAAAGGAACUUGUAACUGCUGCCGUUUUCUCCAAGAAAUUAUUGCCACGUGAAAAAAAGCCCUCAAACUAACUUCCAAAGGAUAGAGGAAGGCACUAGGACAUCAUCUAACAUUCCCUGACAUAGCAGACUCCAAGGUAUAAUUAUUAAUGCAUUGGCCAUUUAAAUAUAGGCCAUCACCUCCUGUUGUCUCAGGUUUUCUUGUCAUCAUCUGGUGCUUGCUUAGGAUAGGAUGCAAAUAGGGAGGAGGCAGCUCUAAGGGUCUGGGAGCAGAGUUAAUGGUCAGAACUUGGGUGCAGGUGGAAGAGCAGGACAUGAAAGAGCACCUUGGCUAGAAAAAGGUUGGAACAAACUGCUUUAGCUCACACAUAAGAUGUCUCGGGUAUUUUCCAGGCCAGUUCUAGCUCCCAUAGUUCUUUAUAAUACUAUAGAACUAUAUAAAGUUCUAUAUAGUUGGACACCACUCUUUGUUACUUCAAUUCCUAAAGAGUAAAGGCUGCAUUUCAUACCCAACAUACUUUCCAAAUGCUCCUUCAUCUUCAAAGACUUUGGAAAUUAAUCACCAAUGCAAGUUGUAAAAAACUAUUCAUCAACAGCAUGUGUCACUUCCCAAGGAGCACAGAGAGGUACGAUGGCACAAGGCAUU